GGCUUUGCACAGUGGCAGUAUCGUAGCCGAGUUUUAUCCGAGGCGUGAUUAUUGCUAAUUGAAAACUUUUCCUAAUUUCGUUCCAUCCAAAUAGGUCCAGAGAUUAGCAAACUGACAUUUGCUGACCACAGUAAGUGGU